AAAUUCACCGGUCUGAUCCUUAUAUUCACCUAGGAACUAGCAUUGUGGGCAGCAAUGAAAUGCCACUGAUCAACAUUGUUAUCCAGGAAGUCCAUCGGGAUGGGGUGAUCGCCAAAGAUGGAAGACUUCUUGCUGGAGACCAAAUUCUUCAGGUCAACAACUGUAACAUCGGCAAUGUGUCUCAGAACUCUGUCAGCGCUGCCCUUUGCCAGCCCUGAGUUAGGUACCACACUGCACCUGACCGUGCUGCGAGAGCGGCGCUUUGUGAACUGGACCUACAGCCACUUCUACUGUAGCUCUCCCCGGGAAGAGGUCUUCCACGUAGUCUUUCACAAAUGGGACUCUGGUGAACAACUUGGCAUUAAACUCAUUCGAAGGACCGAUGAACCAGGUGUUUUUAUCCUUGAUCUGUUGGAAGAGGGCCUGGCUGCACAGGAUGGAAGACUGAGCAGCAAUGACCGAGUGCUCGCCAUCAAUGGACAUGACCUGAAGCACAGAACCUCUGAGCUUUCCGCCCAGAUCAUUCAGACCCUGAGCUCUCACGAGGAGAACCCGCUGGGCUGAUAAGCCCUGGCACCAUCUGAGUGCGCAGUGCCUGGUGGCUGUAUGAACGGGAGACAGGAUCCAUCCCAGCACAGACCAGCUCGGUUGUUUGAGCCUCACUGAUUUUAGUCCUGUGAGCCCAGAGUCCCUCCACCAUCGGCCUUCUCCCUCCUUGGGAUGACAUGCACUUCUGAUGCCAUCAGCACAAGAAGAAAGAUGACAAGGAAAUACACACAGAAGGCUGUUUCUGGCCAGGUCUUGAAGACCUCAAGACCCAACCUCAGAAGAAGAUGCUGAACCUCCCCAAGAGCUACCUCUAGCUCCCACUGUGGUGCCUGUGGCAGCUUCAGAGCCUGAGGGGCCUGGAUGAGAACCAGUUGUGAGUGUGAUACAGCUAUGGAUACAGCCGAAGGCAGGCACCUACCUGAAGGAGCCUACUGCAAAGUGUCUGUGGACAACCAGGUGCAUGAUUGAAAGACUUAGGUGUCUACCCCUGUGGGGGACAUUCCUGGCUUAAAAGUGUUCAAGCGGUGAAGUAGGGCGAUAUCCCAGGUGUGAUAUCAUGAUCUCAGGAUCCCAGGGGUCCGUAGAAGACCAGCUGGGGCCCGAAUGCUUCCGAGUUGGCAGACAUCAGUUAGGGAAGAUGGCUGAAAACCAUGAAGCUAGGUCCCGGCUUUCUGCUCAGGGAAGCAAGCUGGGCCCAGACACCACCUUAUUCCAUCCACAAAGUCUCUCACAUUUCGCCAUGAAAUGGCAAUGAAAGAAAUGCAAUGAAGAAAUGGACUGUACACCAGAAUUUCUUAACUGUGGAUUAUGCCCAGGAUUUAAGGUGCUAGAGAAACAUUUUUUGACAUAAGGAUGGAGAAAUGGUUCCUCCACAACACCUACUGGAAGGACAACUGAAGGAUUAUUUCAGCACAGGAAGUUCGGACCUGCAGGAGUGAAUAGGAAACAAAGAGCCCGGUGGUUUUUCUCAGUCUCAAGUGAUUCCGUCCCCCGGCUAUCUGGCCAUCUGUGGAGACAUUUUGGGUGAUCACAAGUGGGUGCACGUGUGGAGAGAACUACUGACAUCUAGUGGGUGCAGGUUAGCUCUGCUACUGAACAUCCUACAGAGCACCAGACACCACCCCCGCCCCCCGCCGCACCUCCCCAAGAAGAAUUAUCCAGACCAACAGGUCAACUGUGAAGAGGUGGAGAAGUCCUGCUUUAUGUCUCCCAGGGGUUUUGUAGCAAGCAAUUUCACUUAUUGUAACUAGAAAAUGCUCUUUGUAAAACACCAUCAUCAUUUUUACAUCGUCUUUCUUGCUGUGUUUGAUGCUACAAAGGCUUACCACCCAAGUUUUCUUCUCUAAUUAAAAAUUGGCCAGC